rnacentral:misc_RNA from 1 species
UGGGGCGAUAGGAAUAAAGGUUGGGCACUUUACCUUUCAUUACCAACGGAUAAUUGUGAUACUUAUAAGUUGUGUGGAGGAUAUGGUAGUUGUAAUAGUUUGAAUUCUCCGGUAUGUGGAUGUUUAGACAAGUUCGAGCCUAAACAUGUUGAAGAUUGGGGGAAGGCAGAUUGGUCUAGUGGUUGUGUUAGGAGGAUUGAUCUGAAUUGCAUCAAGGGAGAUG